rnacentral:lncRNA from 1 species
AAAUAAUAAGGUGAUGCUUUGCAAAUCUGAAGUUGUGAUCUCCUCUCACAUGUACAUGAAGCUCGCAAUAUGUGCGUAUGUUGGGAGAGUUGUUCCCUCUAAUGUCCCACCUUAAGAAAAAUAUCCCAAAUUUGUGCUCUUAUUGGAAUCGCAUAUACGAAAGAUUUGAGUGUGUGUGUGUGUGCGUUUGUGGUUUCGAUACGUAAAAGCGGGCAAAUGGGAGAAUAUCGCGAGUGAAGGAAAUGUUUAAAAAAUAAUAAAUAAAUAUUGUGUAUACAUUUUUGUUCUGCGAGUGCGAAGAAAAUUUCCCAGUCCCGUUGCGGUCUCUUCGUUACAAAUCGUUCCGAAUCGUUAAAAUCCGUAAUGCCAUUUCGUCGUAAACGCUUAAUCCUCAAAAGAACAGUAAAUACCGCAAUAUAUUUCUAAAGGUAGAUUAAAAAUAGGAUAUUUAUGUUUUUCCUUGCGUUUUUCUCUCUGUUACCAUGUUAAUAGAAAUUUUUGUAGACAUUUUCCUUUAGUUUGCAUUUACCGGAAACUAAUUUGUUUCCCUAUCUCUACCAUACUUUCCGGACUAAAUUUCCCACUUUGCUUUCAUUAUUUACUUUUUGGUUUGUUAUAUUUAAGAGGGUAAUUUGUAAGUCUGUCCCAGGGGACUCUCUCACUCCACUUCCAGUGCUUCCAUUACUUCCCUACUGUCUCUCUCUGUGUCGGGAGAGUUGAGUAAUUGACAGCGAUAAGGUAUCGCAUUGCGCUGACAUGUUUCAAGCAUUACAAAAGGCCCUCGUACUCCUCACCCGCCAUUCGCUCUGUUCCGUUCUGUCUGACAAAAGACCACACCUUCUGAGAUCCGCGGGGAUCCUCGUGGCAUUCUGGCACGCGAAUUUCACACCAAUUCCAAUUACAGUGAGAGAGGCAGAGAGCGGCCUGAAGACUGAAGCACUUGUCUAUGUAAACAUGCUCCACCUACUUGGUGCAGCCCCUAAAACCAUUUUGUGAAUUUGAUUAAUAAAAGCCAGCACCAGCCCCAACAGAUGCAAGCUGAUGGCGGCUGAUAAGGAUGCUUACCUUCUAUAGAGGAGGUAUGCCCAUGCCACACUCUCAGCUCCACUCCACACUCCAGACACCAAAACCAGACUCUGGAACUUCAACCGAGUCGCCGCGCGACGUGUUCUCAUCGUCAACUUGUUGUCGGUUGUAGCUGUUUCUCUGGUGCUGAUGCUGAUGCUGUUGCUGUUUCUGUUGCUCUGUGGCCUGUUUUGUUGCCUGUUCCCCGUGUGUGUGAGGAAAGCUAAUCUUUCAAUUAUAGACAAUUUGUCAAAUGACUGGAAAAGGAGACUGAGAGAUGGAGCGACGAAGAGACUCUGACGGGAGUGUUGGGAUGGCGGGAAAGUAGGGGGAUCUGGGGACACUUUGGUAUAGGGUGCAGCCCCCAGCACAACGACAACGACACCGCCUGACGUAAACGUAGUCGUCUGCGCUCAAUCAUAGACCCAUUUAUAGGCGUCGAAUUACAAGAACAAACUAAUCGAAAUCAUUUAUCACCUCACCAUGCAGGCAAGCCGGCAGGCAGGCAGGCAAGAGAGCCCCUUUCCUCCUGUCCCCAUCUCUUCCAUUCCCCUAUAGAUAGCAUAAUAUCGCCCUCUCCUGUUCCCAUUUUUGUUCGGGGGAGGGGGGCAGAGCAAUCAGCACCUAUUGUCAGGCCCCAGAGAGAGGUCUCUUCUUGUGUUCGGUCGGUCUGCGUGUGCGCCUGCGCUGUGAGAAGAGAUAUCUCAGUGGCCAAAGGAGAUGUUGAGUAAUAUGAUUAAUUGGUAAAUUAUUGGAACUAAAAGGUGGCCCCCUUUGUUGUUUGCUGUUCCCUGUCUGUGGAGGGAGGAAAGAAGAGACUGGAAAAAAAUGUAAGGGCGGACAGGAGGUGAUCGAAAGGAGGUGAAAUUACAUUUGCUUAUCAAAAGCUAUGCUGAAAGCUAUGGAUAGGGUGGGGGCGAUACACAGAGCUAAGUGAUGAGAUAUAAUUCGUGGUAUGAGGGAGAGAAAUUCCUGAUGUUAAGGCCAAGGUUUUUUUGGAGUCAGAGAAUUAUAUAUAUUAUAUUAAUAUUUUUAUUAUUUUAUUAUUAUUAUUAUUUUAUAUUUUUAUUAUAUUUGUAUUAUAUUAUUUAAUAUAUUUUAUAUAAUAUUUUAUGUGAAUCCUACAUACAAAAUCACUCACGUAAUUAUGAGCGUUUAUUAAUUAAAAUGUAAAUCUCAAUAUUCCCGUUUAAUCGCUAACUGCCAAUUCCAUUGCUUUUUAAACACAUCUCUGUCUGCAUUGAGAACCGUUAACCAGCAAUUAGGCAGGAGAACAAAUAGUAGAUUCAUUCAGCAAUGGGACUGCAUUCCCACAAUCCUGACACCUAAUGCGAUUUCCAUUUGGAUUUGGACCCAAAUGAGUCUGCAAUCCGUAUUCCACUCUCAGGAGGAGACUGGAUUCGACUCCUCUAAAACCGAUUCCACACUGAUGCACGCGCACUAAUUGCUGGCAAUUUGUUACAUGUCCCAGAGCUUGGCUGGUUGGUUGGUUUGCAGCCAAGGAGGAGUCAGACAGAGCGCGCGCGUUUGGCCAAGUAAUGAAAUUUAAUUAUGUUGUAUAUCAACUUAUUUGCAUAUCGCGAGCCACGUGCAAAAAGGUUUCCAGACUCAGAGAUAACUCGAGACUGAAUUCCGGGAGGGAACCAAAGAAACGAAUGAGUUUCCUUUUCUUGUUCCCUUUUAGCUGUUUUUUCGCAGUUUCUGUUGAUGUUAUUUUUGCAUACAUUUUUUCGGAAAAAGAUCCACUAAAAUUCAUUUUAAUUGCCAACAGAAAAUACUAUUAGAUUUCAGGUGUGCGCAAAAAACUUUAAAUGUUAGAUUGCAAAAAUGUCUGUUCUUAAGCCAUGAAUUACGAGGGCCAAGGCGGAAAUACUCGGUAGUUUGUAAUCGUAGAGGAAAACACCGAACAGACCAGAAACCAACACCAACUGUAACAAGAUGAUGAUGAAGAAGCACCAGUAACAAUCCGAGUCUUCAGCCUCAGCCCCAGUCGCACAGUUGGCUAUAACUGUGCGUUGACCUUUUUUUUCGGGUGAUUGUCUGUCUCUUGGGCCUCUUUUGAUAAAUGUGCAACAUUUAGACGCGAUUUGGGGCCAAGAUAAGAGCGAUUUUGUAUACGAAUUGCGUUUGGGGUAUCAUGGGUAUGAUGGAGCAUUGCGUGUCAUAGAUAUUGUAUAUAUUUUAUACGGUAUAUAGAUUAGGUUUCGGGAGUGAAAUUAAAGGAGCCAUCAAAUGAGUAGAGAAAAAAUAAUGGAAUGUUUAUAAAUCCUUUGGCAUGAUUUGCCUCUUGGUUACUAUUAAAUUUACCUAGGGUGCACUUUAGUGCUAUACUCCCAUCUCUAGACUUUCCCAACCGUAAUGUUUGCCAAAAAAAACAAAAAAAAACAGAAUCUUUUCUGUUCAAAACUGGCGCUGCUUGUUAAAUGUUUGUUUUAGCGUUUUUAAUUGCUUUAAUUAUUUAUUGUUUGGCUCUCUCUCUCUCUCUGUGGUGUGUGUGCGUGUGUAAGUACUUCUGUGUGUGAGUGUAUGUACUGCUACCAGUUUCGGUUCGGAUUCACAGAUCCAGAGACUGAACGCGCGACAGGGCGCCAGACACAACCAAUGACUUAGGCAACGAACUUGGUGCCGAGCAAUUUGUACGCCAAGAGGAAAAGCUGCCUGGCACUGUCUGCACUCUCCUUGUCUGUCUGUCUGCAAAGAUUUCAAUCAAUAAAUCAAUCAAUAAUUGUGAAAGCUGAGCUAAGAGAGUGUCCAACUGUCCAUCGAUGGUAAAGAUGUUCUCCUGCAUCUAUGUAUGUAUCUCUUUCUCUCUCUGUUGUCCAUCAGUCAUACGCAUAUUUCAAUUAACAUUCAUGCGAGGCACAUUUUUUCCCUCAUUCCCAUACGAUCCGUUCCGUUUCGAUCCGGUUCGCUCUACGGUCUGGUUUUUUUAUAUUUUAUUGAUGGAACACCAUUUUUGCGCCUAUAUAACAAUUACAUUUUGUCAGCUUUUUUUUUUGAUGCUGGCGCCAUUGUCUCUAAAGAGAUCUCUCGAAAACGGUAGCCCGGUAGCCGAUCGAACCGCUGUUUGCCCAUAUGAGGGGGGCACACAGCCGGCGGGCACUUAAGGCUACAAAUAAAGAGAGAAAAGAAAAGCAGCAGCCACCCACCUUCCACUCGAACUCCAACUCCAUCUGCAGCUGAAACCUAGACAAUGUAAGUUCCCCUACUUGGCAGUCACAUGUGUGGCUGUCUGUCUGUCUGUCUCACGGAUAGGAUAAAACCUUUUAUGUGGCAAAACUUUGCAUACUCUGAUGGUUGAUUGGGUAGCAAGGGUUACGGAGAGGUUUGGCUAAGAGAGGAAACCUCUGGGUAUGUAUUAUAUUGUUAUUUAAUUUAUGUUUAUUAUUAUGGUAAAAAAUAGUUUAAAAGGCCAUCACGCACUCUAAAUUUAUUUUCUACACUAUUUUCUUUUAUAACAGUGUAGGACCUCUCCUUCUGGAUCAUAAAACCUGUUGAAUAAAGAGUAGAGAGAUUAUUUUCACUUAAUAAUUAAUCCUGAUUUACUUUUUGAUUUACUUUUUGUUCUAACAUUUUGCAAGCAAUAUAUUUAAAUUUAUACGAUUCCAUAUCGAAUUUUGAAGCAUUAAAUUGAUAUGCAAGAGCAUAUUAAGGUCGUCUUGGGAUUUGACAGCCUCCCUGCCGCACGCUCUGUCCUCCCCUUUAUGCCACUUAACCUCCCCCCGAACUUCUCAUCUUUUCAGAGUUUUUUUUGACAUUUUUGUUAAGUCAUCAACGCACACGGCGGGACGUCGCCUUCUUCUCUGGGAUCCGGAGCUCCGAAAAGCUCGAAGAUCUCGGAGUCUGAGCCAAGUUGAAGUCUCAGAGUCUCGUGUUGUUACCUGUGACUGAUUAAUUUGGCUAUUAUGGCAUUUGGCUUUUAUGCGCACAGUUGCCCCUGCCGCCUGUCCCGCCCCCUCUCGCUCCCAAUCUGCCCAGAAAAAUCUUUGAUCGUUUGCAUUAUGUAUAUUUUUUCGGGGCUUUAGCUGAUGGGCGUCUCUUGGGAUGGAUUCGAUCGAUUCGUUUCGAUCUUCUUCUGCCUUGUAGCAUGUCAAAUAGAUUUUUGUUUUCGGAUGCCUGCCUCCUCAUCGGUGCCUCAUAAUAGACCCAGUUAAUUGCUAAUAGCCAACGGUGCAGAUUUCUAUGUCAGUCCCGAACGUCAAACUGGUGGAUAGUGGCUGGGAGAUGCUUAUUAAAGAUGUUUUUGGAAUAUUUUCAACCAAUGUGGCUGUUGUUUCAUGCAAAUUGUGCAUGACGCUUCGCUUCGGUUACAGUUUUUAUUUUUAUUUUUAGUUUGUAAACCAUCAUAAACCAUUGACCCACAAAUUGGUUGGUUCCCAAGCAGCAGACAGAUCCGAUCCGAUCCCCCAAUUAUUGAACAGAUUUCUAAUGGUGAAAUCCACUUUUGAUUUAAAUUUUUUGGGAGCGGCGGCUACUUUAACCAUCAUUAGCAUAUAUUGCCUGCCAUCCAUCCAUCGCCCCCCUUUUCCAGACUUUGAACUGUAUAAUUAAAUCGUUUGCAAAAAUGUACAAAAAUCACCGAAAAGAAAUAAACGAAAAUCUCUUCAUUUGACUGAAAGAGAGAAUAUCGCUCUUUGGCUGCCCCGCAGUCGCAGUCGGGCAGUGCAAUUAUCAUAAAAUUUUAUGGAACUGCUCCACUUUAUCUGUGUCUGUCCAUCGCACCACUGCACACCUCGGCACUCCCUACUCCUCAUCCUCCUUGCCUCUCUUUUGACCGCCAAUCUUGGGGGCAUCUUUUGCUUUAAGCACUGAAAUUAUUGCAGGCAAACAAUAAAAACGCAUAAACCUCAAAAUAAUGCGACUUAUAAACAUUUUCGAAAUGCUCUGCCAUGAAGAGUUUUCGAUGUGGGGAUACAUUGAUUUUCUAAUGCGCUUGGUUUUUGCUGUGUGGAAUAAUUUUGGUACACUUUGUAUAGAGGAGCAAAUAUCCCAAUUGGUUUUAAAUUUCCCUUGCUGAAAUAUUUCCCCUGCUGCUGUUGUUGUCUUGCUUUGUUCUUUCGCUUCUAUUCUCUCUCAGCAGCAACAACAAGCACUGAGACGACACUCCUCUGCCGGCGAUGCUUAUCAGCAAUUAAACAACGGGACUUGACUCUGCUGCAAAUAUUAAUUUUACUUUAUAUAUUUGAUCACUUUUCGCUCAAGAAUUUCUUGUCUGCACGUUUUUAGUGUAUUCCCCUCUUCGGAUAGGCUGUUGUUAAACGGCAGACUUUUCUUAUACGCCAGCCCGUAAAUCUCGACGGGGCACAAAUAUUUAGUGUUAAUAUCAUAAAUUGUCACAAGUUGGCCCCAAUUUGCCUUUCGUAUUAUAAAUUUGCAUUCCCAUUCCCCACGUAAAGCAGAAGAUCGACGCUGUGGCUGGGUGAGAUGUAGAUGGGGGAAACCGAUAUGCGCGAUAAUAUUAACCGCUUGUGGGCGAUGCACACUGCACAUACGAGACUUUUGCUGCACAAAUUGAGUUCUAAUGGGAAUGAGAACUCAUUCCUACUCGUUCAAAUCCUUCUCUCUCUCUAUGUCUCUUAACACUCUCAAUAUUUUUAAGGUUUUUCAGCAUUUUCAAUUAGACCUCUGAACCCGCGAGAGUUGGACUUGAAUGCAGCAGCAGCUAGCCAGCCAGCCAGUGGCCACGCACAGCUGGGCCCCCACAAAAAACAACAGAAAAAAAAGAAACUACUUCAAGUCGGAGUCCAUGUCUUCCACAGAUCCUCCUCUUGAGUCUCCAGUUUAUAGCAUCGUCUCUCGUUCUCUCUCUCUUCCUCUGACAAGUUUUCGGUGUUUAAACUGCUUGUGUUUCGAAUAUUUUAAUGAAGUCCAUUGAGGUUUUGUGCGAACGCGAAUUGCAUUUAUAAGCACUAGACCCCAGCCUCUCAGUCCCGGCUUAGAUAUUCUCUUUUUUCACUGGCUGUUGUUGUUUCUUUUUAUGUUACUGUCAGUUUUUUUUUAUUUUUGAAGGGGGGCUGUAACCGAAACGCGUUUAUUACAAUCUAAUGAAGUCGAGAGCCUGGCACUUAACGGUACGAAGAGAAGCUGCCGCCGUCUGUUGCUUGUUUGUUGCCUGUUGUUUGAAGCUGUUUGUUGUUGCAGUUGUAGUUACGCAAUUAUCCAUGCCACAUGCCACAUUUUACGGGGCCUCAUACCGGGAGGGGGAUGUCAUAAACAUUUUGCUAGACUAAAAAAUAUUAUCGUUCAAUGGAAGACGAUUAAAAUUCUGUCUGAUUGUACAAAGUAGAAGUAAAAUUAAUAGUUACGGUUUUUUGGGAUUAUAAUAAAUAGAUUCUCAGAGUUUUACAUACUUACUCCAAUUGAGUUGAAUCUGGGGCUUGUGUCUCUCUUUUACAGCUAAUUUUAUUCCAUAUGUAAUCCACAUUUAAAGUUUAGAUCCUCCUGAACCGAUGCCUGGGAGUAACCCACAUCCGUUGGCUUCUGCUUUCUGCUGCUGCGGCUGCUGUUGCUUUUCCCAAAACGAAUAGCCCAAGACAUAAUAAAUAACCGCUGUCAUUCAUAAUGUCAACAGUGCUGCCAACAUUUUGUGCUGUUAUCUGUUGUGAGCUGCUCGCAGACUCGCAAUUCUAGCAACCGACCAGCGUCGACCACCGGACUGACUCCACAUUCUCCGUAUACACACAUACACAUACUGGUAGGGGGUCUGGGAACCUCGCGAGUGGAGAGGCAAGCCACUGCCGCCCAGACAAAGUGGCUGUGGCUGGAUGCAACAUGUGUGUGUCUGCAGAAAGAUGGCGGGGGGAGGAGGAGGGCAUGGAAGGUGGGAUCCAAAAGCCAAGAGCCAAAAGCGACCUCCCCACAUUGGCCAUCCAUUCUUUUGUGGCUCUUCGGUCGUCCUCGUCGUCGACGUCGUCGUCUCCGUCGUCUGCGUCUGCGCUUUGACAUCUUACAGAUCAAUUCAUGAUAAUCGCUGGGACCACCAUGGACCCACAAUGGUUUAGUCUGCUGCUGGUCCUCUGCUGGGUUCGCAUGGUGGAAACGUUUUUCUUUUUACCGGAAUUUAACUGUUUUCGCUGGAAAAAUUGAGAAUUUCCAAAGAGCGAAAGAGCGAACCUGGGAGUCUAGCAUGUAAUCGAUAUUUUUCGAGUCACAACGACAGAAAAAACAGGCACAAAAAAGACAAAAGAGAAGAGGGGCCAAAACGAGGGGCAGUGGCAUCGCGGAAAAAGGGUCAACUUGUGUGUGUGUGCAACAUGUUCUAGCUUUUGGCGACAUGCCACCGCGCUUCGAUAUCUUCGAUAUUUUUUUUUUCUUCUAGGGGGAAUCUGUGGAAUCAAAGACUUUUAUUAUUGUGUGCGGCUACUGGUCUUUUGGUUACCAAAUCCCCGCGAUUAGCAUCGCCAUUGAGCAUCGGUCUAGCACUCUUUCAUAUCGAUUUAGCAUAAAAUUGCCACAGAAUGGGUCGAAAAUUAAUUACAGACCAACAGACCCCGAAAGCAGUUCGCUCGAAGUCGUUACACGGCUCUUCUUCGGCAAAUGUAAAUCAUUUUCGCUAUGCCACCACACGCUUGCAACAGGCUGGGACUGUGCGCUGGGGAGGGACACUCCUUCUGCCUGUUUUCUGUUGUUGGAACUAACUCAAACGCUGAUUCGAGGCAUUGCGCCCUCUAACCCUAGGAACAUAAAUUCAACGGCAGCCUCAGAAGCAGAGCUCAACAGCCAGCCAUCUCCCAUUCCGGCUGUGAAGAGAUGAGAAAAGACAGACAAGUGGCAGUAGUGGCAGUGGCAGUGGCAGUGGCACUGUGGCAGCAUUCCGUUGCCACGGCACUCGACAGGCACACAGUUCCAGUCCCAGUCCCAGUCCCAGUCGGAAAAGCAAAUAACAAAAGGUUUAGUAUAAGGUUUUUGGGUGGCUAAGAACUUGGUCGAGACCCCAGACCCAGUCACAGUUAACCCAUCCUACGUCUUUAGAGACCAGUCCUUAGUCCAGAAAAGACCAGAACUUUGGCUUUGGUAUCUUUGGUCAUCGAGUGUGAAUUGAUUUUCUGUUCUUAUACACUCCUUGUGGUGCAGGAUAUGAGUGAAAUUUAGAAGGACUUUGAGCUCAUAGAAACACACACAUAUUUAAACAAAAUAUUUGGUUUUGAAAUAAAUAAAAAUAAAGUGAAAAAAAUCUAUAGCAAAUAUUUCUGACAUUUUUUUCUAUGAAAAUGAUAGAAGACAAUGCAAUUAAUUAAAGAGACUACACAUUUCGGGUGAACUAAUUAUUUAAGAAUAAUAUUCGAAGGAACGAAGAGUUCCAUCUGUUAUAGUCGUAGUACGAGUUUUUAAUCUGGCUUGGCAUUGCAUAAAAUAUUAGUCAUAAUAUAUUGUUUCUUUAUUAUUAAUUAUUUAAAGAUUUUUAUAUUGUUGAUAUUUUUGUUUUAUUUUAUUUUAUAUUAUUAUUUUUUAAUUUUUGUUAGAGUAUUCACAAUUCAUUUUCUGCCCUCUGAAAAUAAUUCAAAUCCUCACGUAUUAUUCUUUUUUGCAUGCAAGUGCCACUGGGGAAGUGGCACACAAAACAGCGGCCCAGGCGACCUUAGCUAAAUAAAGAAAGAGAGAGAGACAGAUAGAAAAAAGAACAACAAAACAAAGAAACCCAAAAGAAAAGAAAAUAAAACUGGGCAAAGUGCACCUGAGGGACCAACCGACUGUUGGGUCUGUGAGUCUGUCUCUGGGUCUCCCUGCAGCUUCCAUUUCCAGAUCCUGCUUCUGCUGCAGCUUCUGCAGCUACUUCUUGAGGUUGAAUGUCUGAGAAGAAGUACUCCCAACCACUCCACAACCGAUCGAAUGGCAUGGGAUGGUAUGGUUCCAUUUGCAUAUGUUUCGGCAAUUUUGUGCUGUGCGGCGACGACGGGCCCUGUGCGAAAAAAUGAUUUGCCGAUCGCCUCGCUCUUGGUCCCGUCUGGACACUCCAUCAAUUCGUGAUUUUUACGAGCGCAAUGUCGUUCCAUUCUCAGCCAGUGGAUGGUGGAUAGGGAAUGUUGGGUAUGAGGGGGUUCUGGGAGCUGUGCGCAUGCGCAACGAAAGCAUCAUUUAACGCGCAUUUAGCAUCGAAGACACUCCAACAGACGAGAAGGCACAGCUUUUGUUUUAUUUAAAUACCCAUCACUUGUAAGGAUAGGAAGGUUGCAUUAGUUUGAAAGGCAAUAUAAAACAAUUACAAUUUAUCUUGCGUCAACAAUUUUAAUAUCUGUGCACAGCCUCUUUCAUCGGUCUUCCCAGUCAUUUGAGGACAAAAUAGAUAUUUUCAAGGGUAUCACAUAGUCGGAAUACUCAAGUAUUAAAAGCAUUGCUUUUCUUGUGUGUUUUUUUGGGGUUUGUUUCGGUUCUGCCAUCAGUCCUUUGGGCGCACUCUGGCUACUGAAGAAGCCCUCUCGAUGAUGUGUAUGCAACGCUACAGGCCACAGACUGUCAGUCAUUUGUCCCAGACGAACCGACGUCAUCCACACAUUCCCAUCCCACCAUUUAACCCGCUUCAGUCUGUUGCUGUUACUCCUCCACCCCACCCGUGCUUCAGUUUGUAGCCUCCAUCCACCCCGUCCUGCAGUCGGUAGCUGUUUUGGGCCCUGGCCUUCUGGCCUGUCUUUAUGUAAAUUAGUUCAAGUGCAUGCGAUUUUUUGUUGUACAUUUUGUGUGUUUCGUUUCGUGGCGGAGAUUUUUGAUGGUUUGCUGCCUCGGAUGCUCAGUUUGUGGUUGGGUUAGGUUAUGGUUAAGAAAACAAUUAGCCAACAGGCUUCUGUCUCUGGUUUCCCGCUCUCCGGUCUCCCCCCAGUAAGUGCUCUAUAAUCUUCUUGGCCUUUCCCCUUUCUAAUGUGCUCUGUAUAGGUAUGUCCAUCUGGAUAUCUGCUUACCGGACUCUAAUGAUUUAUAGCUUUCAUAUAAUAGAUAGUUUAGCAUGUUCCUGAACGACGAAAGACCCGCAUGAAUCUGAGCUCUCCUUGGGAUGAUGUUUUACAGCCAACUAGAGAUUUGCAUUUGCCUUUGUGUGUAUUUGUUGUUGGUUUUGGUUUUGUUUAAACAUAAAAGUCGAUUAGGUGCUUUCUUUAUUACACUUCAUCUUCUGGGCCAUUUCGUUAUCUAAAUGCGACCAUAAAAUCCAACACCCAACGGAAAAUAUAAAUGUAUGCACAAUCCCCUAUAUAGCCUCCAAAGCAGCACAGCGGUGUCGGAUUUAUGGAUGCAUUAGCGGGGUUUUAAGUCGAUUUAAUAAAUAUAUAUAUUUAAGCUAUUCUGCCACUGCCCCAAGCCCCCUGCUUUUGAGCUUCUCAUUGAUUUUUUUCACUUUUAUGACUAGACAAAUUUUUGUGCCCAUAAAGAAAAUUGCAAAUUAGGCGAACGUUUAAUUACAACCCCACCAAGAGGUGGAAGAGAAGGCUGAUGCUGCUGCCAUAAGUAUUUUUUGUGCCAUUUUCGACAUAUUUUCCAUGGCAAUGCUCGGGGAAUGCCAAUGCCUCAAUGGCCAAUGGAGAAUGCCAAUGCCAAUGUCGAGAAAUUGCCAUCCCAAUUCCAGCCAAAAAGUUCGUCUUUCUCUCUCUGCCUUUGGGGAUGUCUUGUUGGCUUAUUGGUGUUGUCGUGUUGUUUUUGUGGCCCCGACCGACUGACUCUCUGGCAAAUGAUUUAAAGUGUUGCUUUGCAUUACAUUUAUUGCCAAUUGAAAUUUGAAGUGCGUGAGAAAGUUGGAAAAUAGGUUCCAGCCGCCAGCCCGCUCGCUCGCUUGGUACCAGGGCACCCGGGCCUGUCUCCUCUGGAGGUGUCUUUGCGAGAUCUGGCCAGAGGCCGUGUCCAUUGCUCGCUGCUUUUGGCCUUUGUGCUGCGGGUUAAUAUGAGCUGAAAAUUGGCUUGCUUAGUUUUGUGGUCGUUCGUUGGCUCGUUCGUUUUGUUGGCCUGUGAUUUGAUAACAUUUUUCAGUUGGAAUGGAAAGUUUCUCGUACUUGUAUUUGCUGUGGAUGCUCCUCCACUCUCUGGUCUCUGGUUUGUGGCCUCCUCCUGCAUCUCUCUGAUAUUUUUGCUGUGGGUCUGCCUGCGUCUGCCUGGCCAUGAUUCUCUGGUGUGUGUGUGUGUGUGUGUGUAGCCUCCUGUAGCCUCCGCCUCGGUCAGGUCGUCGUCUGGAUGGGUGCGGCAAACAGAUUUGGGAAUCGUUUAUCGUUCCUCUCCCUCUCUUUUUCUGUUAUUCAUCGUGUGUGAGUGUGUCAUCCCAUGAUACCCUUUUAUAUCUUCAAUUAAGUAGAAGAGGCGUUUUGUUUAAGGAUUGGUACAUGAUCAAUGCAGAUUGGAACUCAUUCUGUAAGGUUUAAAUCCAACAAAGUAGAUACUAAAGUACAUUUACAGGUAAUAUGCCAGUCGUAUACGACACUCCAUCACACACACUCCUCACAUAUGCGAAAUUCACUUUGUUGGCUCCACCCUCCACACAUCGCGGCAACACACCGCAAGCAAAUGAAGCCAAUUAAAUGCCUCGUUCGCUCUCGUACUCAUUGCCUCAUUUGAUUGAAUUUUUUGAUUUGUUUUUGCUUUUUUUCCUCACUUGUUUUUCCAAUUGAUUUGUUUGAAGGUUUCCAUAGCAUAAUCAGGUACAUCAAUUAAGGCACCUCGAGAGAAGAGCGAGUUUUUUGCGCUUAGGGGGGCGGGACCUCCACCACUCUCGCAGUCAGGUUUCUGUAUCCUCAUCUAUUUGGUCUCUUGUUUCCUUGCUGCUUGAUUCUUGGCCUACAAUUCCAUUGUUGGCUUUUAUAUGGCGAGCCGAGUGGCCAGCAUUUUGAGACCUUUGAGACCAAGUGGCACACUUAAUGAUUGCGACUUAAUCUUACACCCGCUGACAAGGCCCAAAGCUGGUGACCAAUGUGCCAAGAAAUCAGAGAUGCUAGAGAUUAUAGGGGAAUUCGUGUAGAGAAAUGUAUAAAUAUUAUUGCUAUAAAUUUUUCAUUGAUUUUCCAGAGAUAGAAAAAAGACAUAAGACUAGAGAAGAAAUAGGAAAGAAAUAGAAUCCAGGAAUUACAAAUUUUAAGUGUAUAUUUUAUGGAAGUACUCUUUCCACUUUCCCACGGAAAAAAUUCUUUAUUUUGAAACCAUUUCCAUAUAAUUUCUGUGUGUUAAAUGCCCGCCCAAAGUUCGUUUAAUAUUCGAUAUAAAAAUGGCAGGCAGCUGAAAUUUGUAAAAUCGAAAACCAAAAAACCACAAAUACACAUCUCUGCCCCUCGGUCGCUCUCUGUGUCUCUUUGUGGGGAUGGGCGAUUGACCAAUAAACAUGCAGCUUCAUAUCGGUUGACGUUGUUAGUUAUAGUUUGUUAUUGGCUGGCUUUUGGAGAAUUUGCAAAAAGCCACUAAAUAAAAAAAAUACUAAAAAAAGCAAAACUCCUCGCCCAAAAGUGAAACCAGCUUUGAAUUCAAGUUAGUUUUUUGCCUGUCCGCCUGUCGGACUGUGUGUUGCUGUUUGUGGAUGCUGCUGCUGCUGUGCUCUUUACUCAAAUGGGGGCCUCAUCAUAAUUUCCAUUUUUGCGGUCAGGCUUCGUCCAAUCAGCGCUUUGCACAUUAGCUACAAAAAAAUAGAGAAAAAAAACUACAACCAACACACAGGUUGAUUGCAUUUUGUUGUCUUUGUUGUUGCCGUCCGCGUCAAUUGCAGCGGCACUUGUUGUUGUUGCCGCUGCAGCAGAUGUUGUAGUUGUUGUUGCUGUUGCUGUUGCUGCUGUCAGCCAUUAGCGGAACAGUGUGAAAUUCGAUAUUAGUGCAAUUCAUUUUCAACAACUAAUUUUGUUGCCAAUCUCUCAAUCGUUCAGUUCAUGCCCCCCAUAUACCCCCCUGCAAAAAAAACCCUCACAGAUUUUCAUGUUGGGUUUUUUUUUGUCGCGCUUCAUUAGUUGGAAAAGUGUUUGGCCUAAACCGCAAUCAGCAAAGGUUUCAAGGGUAGAUUUUAUUCUCUGGCAGUGUAACAUAAGGAAUAAAUGGGGUUUCAUCUGAAAAAUUAAACGAUGGAAGGUACAGAAAAAUUUGACAACAUUUCCUGACAUUUUUGUACUUAUUUAACGUGAUUUUUGCUGAAAGAUGCUUUUAUCUACCGACCAAUAUGUAUAAUUGUAUCAAUCACAAACCAUUUUAAUCCAAUAAGCGAAACAGCGAAAAUGAUUAAAGAAAAGCCAGUGCCAACACACAAUUUGAAAGCCAAAAAACUCGGCUUUUGUCCAAAUCAAAGAGUUUUAACUCACAAUUAGAGAGUGUCCUACAGUCUUUACAGUUUCCAAUUAUUUAUGUGCCGUUCUCUCACUCUUUUUUGCUUGCCGUUUUAGUUUUUACGAUAGAAAUUGUAUUUCUAUUGCAAUUAGCACAUUUCGGAUGAUUGAAGGCGGCAGCGGCCUGCCAGCAUUACAGGAGGAGUCAAGUCCUCAAAAAGCAGCAGCAGCAUCAUAUGGAAAAUUAAUUUUCACUCUUUUUGGAUGCGUUACGCCCCGUUCCAAGACACACACUGCCUCAUAAGCAGGCAGUUACAUGGACAGCCAUAGAGACGACGACUCAACGACCUGUUCUCAAGUGUAGUUUUUUGUUUUUUUUUUGCUGUAGUUUCUAUCUUUCUGUUUCUGUUUUUUUACGACUUGCGCGUUUUUAAUUACAACUACCGGGCAGUGCAGUGCAGUGCAGCUACAGGUGGAAGGUGGAAGGAGGCGGCGCAGGAGGAGGCGGUGGGUUAGGGGGUAGACGUUGACGGGUUUUACGGAUUGCGAACUGCGCAUAUCUUUGGUCACUUGCCACAUCUCGACAUCUCGCUGCUUGCUGUUUGCCUGCUAAUUCUAAAAGUCUCGGUCAAAAGGUUUUGAUAUAUGUUAAAGCAUAGCAAGGUGGCAAUCCGUUUGGAAUAUCCGUCGUCUGAUUGCUCAAGAGUGCCCUUAAUAGAUCAAACUGGUAAUUGAGUACACAAUAAUCAAGAUUUCCAUCAGGAUAUCCACUGAUAUUUUGGCACAAAGCUCAUCCACUUUCAAUCCUAAAUAUUAAAUAAAUUCUCAUACAUUCCUUUAACGCCAAUUACCAUUCCGUUUAGAUAUCGUUUUGGUUUUCUUUUCUCUCGGUUAUCUCUGCCCCACAUCGAUCGAUUUACAAAUUGAGGGGCACCGUGCAACAGGUUGUUGUAUUCAUAACGAAUGCUUUACGGAUUAACCCAGCCGUAGGAAAAAAAAGAAACCGAAAUCCCCUUCGGGCUAUAGGGCUUGUAUUUAUUUCAAUCUCUGUGAACAAUAUGCCUUUUGAUUGCAACUAAUUGUGGCAUGGAAAAUGGAAAGAAAUUUAUCAAACGCCCAUAAAAAGUAUAUCAACAGGCCAAAAGACUGGCUUUCGUUGGGCUUUGGGCAAUCAUUCAAAAGAGAUCUCAUUCGAUCUGCGAUCUGCGAUCUUCGAUCGCAUGAAAUAAGAGCCCUCGAGAGCUCGGCUUGUAGAAUCGUUUAUAAAUUAUGAAAAUAUAUGUACAUAAUGCAUACACUCGUAUAAGUCCACAAGUUCAAAGCGGACCGUGUUUCUUUUUUUUUCUUUUUGAGCCCACAAAAAUAUGAAAAGCGCGUUUUUGUUGUUUAUUAAUUUAUUAAAAAAGAGAAGAUGUCUGUGGGGGUAAAAAAUAAAUCCAUUUUUAUACAGAUUUCUAUGUCAUUCGGCUGCUGGCUGCCAGCUGCCGGCUGCCGUUUCGUUUUCUGGUAUUUUGUUGGCUAACAAUAAUUAAAUUUAGAUUAAGUUUUGGAAACGAAUUCGAUGCGAGCGAGCGAGCGAGCCUCUGCUCUCGACAGUAGUUUAAUGUAUGCAAAUUACACGCUGAUGACCCCGAAAAACAUAUCACAGAUCGAUCCGAACCCCUGACCCCUGUCGACAUUGAGCCAAAGCCAAAGCCCUUUUUGGAUGUGACGAAUCGAUUCCCAAAACGAGACAAAUCUCAUUUCUGCUUUGCCCUGCUCUCCCUUCUCUUCUCUUUGGAGAUUUGUAACACUUUUCUCUUGCCCAGAGAUUUUGUUUCAUUUUUCUCCUUCGAUGGGGUUUUGUUGUUGUUUUUGUUUAUGACCAAGCAACACCCAUUUUCUCAACUUUUCGACUUUAAUCGUUGUUGCGCGGGUUCGUCUUGUGUAUAAUAAUCAUCAUUUUUCCCCCAAAACGUUUUCCAUAUUUUUUGUAUUUUCUCUCCUCGUGGGCGUUGCUAAUUAGUAGCUUUUUUCCACUCUUCUGGGUGGAAAUUUGUGCUCGAUUUGAUUUGUGAAAAUUUAUGUUCAGCAUUAACGUUAGGGACUGGCUUUAGGUUUGUCGGUGUGGUUUACGAUGUGCGAGCUUGGGGCCGAACGCAUUUUAAUGGGGCCUCAAAUGAAUAGCCAAAGCCAAAGCUAGAGUGUGGUUAAAUUGAAGGCGGACUUUGAAUGUGAGACCGAAAGUCUGGGAUUUGGUGUGGUUCAAAAUUAGUUAAAUUAAUUGGGGAACAUUUUAAUGGAGGGAGGAGGAGAGCUCGUUUGAAUCUGAAGUGUGUUAGAGGUGGCAUACAUCAUAAUUUAUGUUGCAUUUAAGUCUGCCCUAAUGCUUGCAUUUAGGUUCAUUUCACACCUCGAGAGAGCAUAGUGAACCGUGAGAGAUUAUCCUAAAAAACCUCGUAUCCUCUCAUAUAUUUCACUUACUUUCUUUGUACGAGAUCCUCUCACAUUUCAUUGCAUCACGGAAACCAAUCAACAGCAAAGACAACGAGGUGUGGAAAAUGCAAAUAGUUGAAGCCCAAGCUCGAUGGAUCUAUCAUCGAUUGAUAGCGUACAGUGCGCUAAAGAGAGGAGGCAGGGAAAGGGGAAUCUCCCCCAAUUGAACACGAGUUCAUUCUGGUUGGUUGUUGGGUAGGUAGGUGGGCAAUCAUUUUUGGCCACGCUAAUUUUGCUGACCUGCUGAUUGCCCAUGGAAAUUGAAAAUUAUGAAAUUAUAAUUUUCUUCCUACUUUGCCAGCGAACAACAAUAGCAACAGCAAACAGCAAAGCAGCAACCAGCAACCAGCACAUGCGACGAAUGGAUAUGGCAGCAGCGGAUUGUGAGAUUGAUACGUCAUGUCAAUCGUGAUUUUGUUUGUUGGAACUUUAACAUUUCACCUACGUGAUGCGAUGCGAUGCGAUGUGUUGUGAUGUGAUGUGAUGCGAUCGAUGUGGGAUGUAUGUGCUGUAUGUGCCAACGAUGAUCCCUGUUGGAACCCCAGCGACCUCCUCCCACUCCAUGAAGUCCAUGGAUUCCGAGUGCUGCUUCCUUUGCUGCAUGGCUAUGGCUGCAUCAUCAGGCCAUGCCACACGUCAUGCAUGUUCAUAUACAAAUUCGUUGCGCCUGAUUACAAGAUCGAACUCUACUCGGACGACGAUGAUGUGCCUGGUGCCUGAUGCCUGAUGGCUGAUGCCUGGGACGGUGCCCCGUGUGACUUCUACGACUAUGACCCGAACGUUCAAAAUUUGUAGCAAUGACCCCGACAUCAUCCGCCCGUCGUCGUCUCUCCCAAGGAGGAGUAGAUGAUCGAAGACCUAUUCGCACGGUUCGCUCAUUGGAACGAUGCCACAAUAUGGCUUGCAAAUCAAUUGGCCAGAGAGCAUGGCCAGAGCCAGAGCUACAGCCAGAGAGCUAUAUUCUCCCAAGAGCUAUAUACCCCCUCUGUUUAUUAUGCUCCAGGCCCCAAGGCAAUGCAUAAAAUGAACGGCAAUGGGGCGGAAGAGAUCAACGAAUUGAGGGUACUCUUGUUAUGCCAGUCUUUUGUAGGGAAGAGAAUAAACCUUGAACAAUUUGGUUCUUCUUUAGAUGUGGAAUUGGUUAUAAAAGAGAAAUAAAGCUGGGAAAAGCCAAAAUAUUCCUCUCCUACUUUAACAUUCAUACCUUUAACACCCCCCCCAUACUAAAGAGUAUCCCAGAAAAUCUAGACUCGAGAGCAGCAAGUGCAUAAAAGUUCGCGGGAACAUUUUGCGGCUGCAGUUGAUCUUUAGCCAUAUUAAAUUAACCAAAAGGCUAGGCCGUGGCCAAGCAGGAGGAGGAGGCGGAGGAGGAGGCCUCUAUGAUUGAUCUGCCGCAGCGACCGUCCGUGGACAGUCGCGGACGAUUAUACAGUCAAUGUUGGUCGUCAGGUCGGUGGUACCGUUCCCGUUCGCCGUCUUUUGGGUCGCCAGGUUGGGGUCGGGUCGGGUUUCGCAUCGUUUCGGAUCGCAUGCAUAAUUUUCAAUGUGUGUCGGAAGUUUUUCGAUGAGGAAAAUCGUACAAAAAUAUACAUUUUGCUUAGCUGUGUGUUGUUUAUUGAGUUAUUGCUGGGCAAUCGAAAACAGCUCGCCUGGGAUCGGAUCGGUUAGGGUCUGGGACUGACUGUGGGUCUGGGAUUCAGUUUAAAUCAUUCCUUCCGCCAAAUGAUGCGCACGUUCUUUUGGGCUAAGGUUAAAUGUACCUACCCAUCAUUUGGUUGGUUUAAUAAAGUUAUGAAUUCCCAGGGAUGCAUUCCCCCGAUUUAUGAUGUUACGCUUUUUAGUCCAUUAUAUGUGGGGGGCAUGGAAAUGGAAAUAGCGAUUAGUAUAGCGAUUUUCCCAUGACAAAUUAGUAGCAGGGGAGAAUUUGAAUAUUUAUAACCAUUUAUUUUUAUAUGGUUUUUUUUUCCCCUAUUUUUGGGGGGAAUUUCCACAAUUAAUAAUGGAAAUGUUUUGUUGUUUCCCAUAUUAAAAGUAAUUCAUUGCCUUGAAUAUUUAUUCGAUUACUGGAUGGGCUCUUAAAAUACAUAUUUGAUGUGAGAAAGUGUAAAGUAGAUUUCAGUUAUUCCAUCUUAAUACGUCAAUCAAUCAAUUUAAUUUGUUUAAAUUUCGAUAAAUGUUUCCUUAGAUUUAUACAGGAAUUUUCCUGUGAAUUUAUGUUCUGUUGGUUGCAGAUUUCAUUCAUUAGAGUUCCUUAUAAAUGACACACUUACUCCUCUCUCCGUGGAUAUUUCAAAGAUAUUUCAUACACUCCCAUGGAUACACCAUUAAAAAUCUUGCAUAAAAAAAAACACAACAAGAGAUCCGAAACAUAGCAGCAGCUCCUUUCCGUCGCAUAACAUGCUCAUAUAAUUACACGCAAAAUAAUUGUUCUACUACGAAUAGUGUGUGUGUCUCUCUGUGUCUCUGUGUGUAUUGAGGAGCUACCUGGGAGAAUGAGAAUCCUCUAGAAUCUUUCGGAGGUCGCAACCCGCGUGGUGGCUGCUGCUGCUUCCUCAUGAAAUUCAAUGCGCUUGCAUCUCUGAUUCUCAGACUUUUUAGCCUUGAAUUCCUUUGCACUGCGCUGCGGGCUGCUCUCUCUCUCUCUCUCUGUAGCUCGGGGGCUAUCGAAUUACCAGACUCCAACCUCCAACGUACAACCCUCCCCCUGGGCGAUGCGAUACCAAUCCUCCUGGUAUCGCCUCUUCCCUAACACUCAACACUCGCAGCGCAUUGCCACGCUGUGGUUUGUUUGGUUGUUGUCGCAUGUAAUUGGCUGUACAUUUCGACACCCCGGCGACAACAACCGAACAACCAUAGCAAAACAGCAACAGCAACAACAACCAGAGGAACAACAACCGCUGAGCAAGAGUCGUAAUGAGCUUGUACACACACCACUCGCUCGGCAUAGAGCGGCAUCCACAGCAGCAGCAGAGCCGCAACAUAGAGAGAAAUAAAAUAAGCGAAAAGCUAGAAAUAUAUAAACGUAAAGAUACUCUUUUUGUCUUUCUUUUUUUGUAAUAUAAUAUUUCCUAGAGAUAAAAAAUAAAAAUAAAGAGGAUUUAAGGCACAUUUGCAUAGGAUAAAAUUGAUUUUCUUUAAAGAAUCCCAUAAAAACAAGGAAGGGAAUACGGUUUUAGAUGUUCUCAUAAAAUGAGGAUGCUUUUCGAGCUAUAAUUUCUGUAUUAAAAAAGCGUAUUACCACUAUUUUGAUGCAACUUUCUUCUGAAACGUUCUGAAUAGCAAUUAACUCAAAGACUUUCUUCUAAUAUCUAUAUUUAUAUUGGAAAAAUUGGCUGAUAUUGUAAUUGGGAGCAUUCGAAAACUCGAAAAUAACGAAAAGGAUUCGUCUACAGAUUAUUAUCCCGAACAAAUAAUCCUUCUUCUUUCAUCCUUCUAUACAAACUGAGAGACAGUGCAGCUACUUUGAGGGUACAUCCCAUAUCGAAUGACCCCAAAGAAAUAGAGGAAUAAAUAUGAUGCAGCAUCUCUAGUGGGACGCAUCUUUCUCUGGCCUGAGGCUCUUGCGGCUCUGUCUGUGGCCUCAGGUGGGCGCGUCCCGUCCGCAACAAAAUAUUGUUUAUGUAGAAAGCAGUUGUCUGCAGACAACAAAAAAAUAAAGAAAAAACAGAGGAAAAAACAAGCAAUUUCAUUGCCGUUCGAGUUUCGUUUCUCGUUGUGUGUGUUUAACUCGUCUUAUUACCAAUAAGACAAAUCCUAAUUAUACAAUAAAUUCCAUUUUGCAUGCCCCGACCGCAGCACCAUUCGCGCGAGUUCGAGUUUUCACCUCGACAACAACCGAUGUUUGACUAGGCUGCUCUCUACGCCUCCAUGCCAGUCUCCAGCUACGAUACCCCCCGCUCGAAACUCUCAUUCCAGCUCCUCCUGUGAUAACAAUCUCGCAAAUUUCUGUGCGAACAUUUCGCCCAAGAGUUUCGUUGGAGAGUCGCUCUCUGGGUCUUGUGGCGUGGAUCCGUUGCGCUGCGUCUCAAGGCGGUGCGGCGGCGUAAUAAAAAUAAAACCAUAGACUAAACGAUAACAGAAUGGUGGGUGGAGCGGGGGGGGGGGGGGGGGGGGGGGGGUGGGGGGUGGUUGAUGCAGUUGAUGGUUAGGCGUGUGCGUUUGUUGGCUUGUAAUUGUGUCUUGUUAAUUUCGCAUAUUUGAAUCUACUUGAGGCAAUUUUUACAGUUUGAAAGGCAAAUCUCUCGCCGCGUCUCUCAGUCUCAGUGUCUUCCUCUAUUUUGUGAGUUGCAUAUUUAAUGGAUUUGCAGUUAAGUCAAUUUAUUUUGUAAUUAGCAAAGAAAAUAAGCCAAGAAAAUGCGAUUUAGUGAUACAAAAUCGAUUAUGUUUGAUUUUUUUCUCCAUUGUCCAUUGUGUCGUAUCAUAUAUACAACAAUCUUUUCACUUCUGCCUUCUCAAUUCUUCUGUGAUAAAACUCCAAAUAAUUUGUUAGUUGUCCGCUUUAAUAGAUUUUAAGAAAUCAUAAGGAAAAACUCCAUUAAAAAUCCCACUUGAUAGCGAUAGCUAGACCAUCAUCAUCAUCACCAACGCAGCAGCAGCAGCAGCAGCAGCAUCAGCCUGCCUCAAUCAUGAUCUUGUGCCCCUCAUUGUCGUUCAGGUGUGGUGGUGGUGGCACCUCUUUGGUUGCCCUGGUGGCUCUGGUGGUUCGAUGUGGAUUGGUAGCUCUGCACGAAUUUGUUGUGCCAUUUGUAGCCCGAUGUGCUGCUGGAUAUAAAAUCUUAUAUCUUAUGGCAUUUAGCAUGAGUUUUUGACAGUUGCCGUUGCUGAUAAUAAAAUGCGACAAGUGGUUGUUGCAACAGGAUUCAGCAUGCAGGAGGCAGGCGAUCGGCGCGAAUUGCUCUGUAACGUGUGUUUGUAGAGCUGUUAAUUAAAUUAAAUUAAUUGCAAUUUAUUCAAAUGGAAAUUUAUGAAAAAUAAUUACAAUCGCUUGUGGUUUUACGACAGUCUUAAAGUCUACAUAUAUGACUGGCUGAUCCAUAUUAAUGAUGCACUGAAAUUUGCAGACAAAAGUUUGAUUUAUUUUAUGGUUUUUCGCUCAUCAUUUUGCUCCAUUUCUUUACGCUGUUUGAAUGCCUCCGAAUCCCAGAUAUCUUAUGUAUGUGAUGGCAGUCUUUUAAUUUAUUCAAAGUCACGUUGCUGGCAAGUUGCUGAGAAGUCAGAGCCCUGGAAAAUGAGGAAUUCUCUUUUCUUUGCAUUUCCAUGACAGAAUCCAAGCAGUGAAGAGCUCUGAGUGAGUCAGCGUUAAGUGCAUCAAUUUCCAUUUAACUGUAAGCGAUAUUCAGCAGUCAUUGAAAAUAUUGCCAAUAUUUGUGCUUCCUUCUUGUGCGCUGCUUACUGCUUCUUGGGUUGCUGCUGUUGUUAGUGCCUCUGUGCCAAAUUGCAAAAGUCAAACUAAGGGAACAGCCAGCAGCGAGCCAGCGAGCCAUCUAGCCAUCAUCGACUUCUGCCACCAUCGUUUGACGUUGUCUAAACAAAAGACUCGAGAAACGAACUUGGAGUUUGGCGGAGAUGCAGAUGAAGCCCCCAGAGAGAACCUGAAGUGUGGGUGACAUCUUCAGCAGCAGCAGCAGCAGCCAAACACUUGAGGCGUUUGAGCUAUUUGCGUUGAUUGUCAACGCCACCAAAGCACAUAGCCAAAAAGCGGGACAGAUGGACAGACCAGACCAGUCCGACUGCAAGUCGCAAAAAGUCAUAGAGAUGGUUGUAACAAUACGAUUAAUGGCGAUAGCUUAGAGUUAUAAAAUCGUAGAAUAUUUGGAAAUAUAUAUAAAAAAAAAAUCAAUGAAAUUUAUUUACAGGAUAUUUAUGCCAGUUUCUUUAACGAAAGUUAUGAAUUUUUAAAACAUAUUUUCAAAGCAGAGCAAAAUUAGCAAUCUAUAGCCAAUUUAAGAAUUUAAAUGUCUGAACGAUACCUAUCGCAUAAUUCUCCCGUGCCAAUGUCCAUUCCCAUUCCAAUUUUCGCGCAUUGCUGAUCCAAUUCCUCGCCCACUGAUCUGCCUGAUCUCUUCUGUCACGCUUCCAUCACUAAAGCAACUCUGUCUGUCUCUUGGGUGCUUGGGGUCUUCCCAUCAUCGAAUGGGAGUCGUGUUAUUGUUGUUGUUAUUUUUAGUGCUACCGUUGAACAGCAUCCCUCCCGCCACCCAGCCCAGGAUGACUCGAUGCUGGUCACCCGCCCGUACCCGCCUCAUCUUCUUUGCCUCUCGUUGAUGAUUCCCAAUGGGCAAUGAUGAUGCUUCAGUUUUGUUUUUGUUGCCUUGGUUUUUUUCUUAUCUCUUUUUUGUUGUUGUUGCUUCUCUGUUUAUUUUUCUAACACUUCAAUUGGCAUUCCACACAAAAAAAAAAACCAAAACAAAGCAAGCGAAAAUUGCAAAACGUGAGGUAGUUUUCGAGUUCUAAUUUAAAAUAAUUUUUGUGUUGACGCUUUUGCAAUUUCAGAAGGCAGAUGAAGAGAGAGAGACAGAGCAAGAGGCACUAGCAGAGAAGUCUCAAUGUCUCAAUGUCUCGAUGUCUUUUGGAAGCUCUCAGCUCUUAGCACACUCCCGCUUCCUCCUCUCGUAUGGGUGUCUCUACUCUCCUUGGUGUAUAUAUUUUUAUCCAUUUCGUAAUAGAGUCGUUAAGUGGCUCUUUUCUGUUUUUUUUUGUUGUUUCUUUUUCUUUUUGGUAAUUUGAUGAACGAUUUUUGAUAAUUUUGCACGUUUUGUGCUUUUGCUUUUGUGACCUGUUGAAACGUUCAUAGAGGUAGAGAGGGAGACAGAAGAGAGACAAAGCGAGAGAGAGAGAGACAGGGACAGGUUGCCUUGAUUGAGGAGUGUGACAUGGGGGGCGCAUCAGAGGCCAGGAAUGAAGACUCUUUUGCCUUUUUCUCUGAUUUUAAAAUCAAGUGCAGGCAAGUGGGUAAUUAUUGUUGUUGACUCUCUCUCUCUCUCUCUCUCUCUCGCUCUGUCGCUCUCUUGCUGUGCUGUUGUUGCGGUGCUGCUGGUGCUGCUGGUUGCCCCUGCUUGAUGAUGCAGGAUAGAAAACGCUGACCACUCAACUGUCAAUGGCUCGAGGAGUGGGUAAACCUCCUCCACCCAUCACUCCCCAACGCAUAUGAUAUGCACUGCAAGAAUUUUAAGAAAUUGAUUAUAUUCAAUAUUUAAUGAUUAUAACUGUAAUAAUUAGUUCGAUUUUCAAGAGAGCAUUUUAUGUCGCUUCCAUGAGAGCUCUUUCCUAUUUUAACUCAAGCAAUUUUCCAUUCAAUAUUUCAUCUUUAUUUCUUAUUUUCAUAUUUGUUCCCAAGGAUUGUUAUCCCAAGUUAAUUUCUAGUCAAUGUCGGUCAUAGUUUUCACGAUCUCUGGUUCCUUUUAAAGCUCUUUCCCCACUAGUUCUUUAAGUGUAUUUGCCUCUGACUCUGUGUUUGUUUGCCCAUAUUCAAGUGCUGCACUUUUGCCUGGCCUGAUUCGUCCCUGCCUCGUCUGCUGCCUUCUACUGCCUUCCUGGCUGUCGAACUUCACCUGUGGAUGUGAUUUGCAUAUGUGGCCCCAUAGUUUGCCCCAACAGAAGCAGCAACCGCAGCAGCAGCAGCAGCAGCAGCGGCAGCAAUCGCAAGUCCGAACCUGGAGUCUCAGUCCGGGAGACUCGAAGUCUGAGUCCGAGUCUGAGGCUGCUUUUGAGUGCCCAUGAAUAGUCACAAAGCAUUAAGCACUUCAGGUGCUUAUUGGGGGAAUGGGGAUAGCGGGGCUAUGGUGGGGUGGGGCCAGCAGGGCUCCACAAUUAUCUACACAAUAUGGCAAUCACAUAUGUAGAUAUGCACACACUCAGCACCGGCAGCAGCAGCGGCAGCGGCAGCAGCAGUUUUUUUUUCAACCAGUUGUCCAAUCUAGGAAGUGCAUGAAUUGCAUUUUCCAUAUGGCCACAAAAUGCUGCGCACCUCCUCGCCCCUGCCACAUGACUCUCUUCCUUCUGCCUGCUUGCAGCUCCUCCAUCUCCUCGGACAACUGCGUUUUGCCAUUUCCUCAUUACUAGCCGCAGAAAACUGCAAAAAAUGGUAAGAAAAAAAAAUGUAUAUAUAGGAGAGAAGAAAAUAGUAAAAACGGGUCGCAGUCAUCGUCGUCGGAGUCGUCUCCAUCGUUGUCUUCUUCUGGCGAGUAGGCUUUGUGGCCGAGCUCAGAAGAAAUUGAACUUUUUCACACCAGAAUCGAUUGUAAUUGAAUGCCCGAGGGCGACCGAGGCCAGGCCCAGGCCCCGCCAGUGUACGUGUAGAGUAGUGUCCGUCGUAUAGCCAGCGAGGCCUGUUAAUGCAAAUUUUUCUCAUUUUGACAUUGGAGAAUAUUUCAACCAAAAAGCAUCUAUCUAUAAACUUUCCACCAGCCAAAAAAAAAAAAGGCUACAACGCCACCACCAAUGGAGUACAUUAAAUUGCUUUAUUUUUGUUUAUAUUUUCUUAGUUUUUUCGGUUAGGAUAUGCUCUUUAGUGUGUGGUUGCUGCUGGAUCAGGGGACACCUGCUGCUAACAUUUAGCUUGAAAUGUUAUUUUGAAAGAGCAACAAACAAGGCAGAAAAUAUUUAACUAGGCUUUGGGAAUGCUCUUACUCAAGGGUGGAGCUCUAAUUGAGAUUUUUAGGGGUAAAAUUAAAUGAAGAGAAAAUCAGAUCAGAGCAUAACUAACUUCUUCUGCAUUAAUAUUCCAUAAAGUUAUAGUUUUCGAUUGAUGAAAAUUCAAACUGUGUGAGCGAUAGAAUAGAGAGGCGUGAGAGUAAAGACGUCUUCAAUCGUCCAUCAAUCCGAGCAUUGAAAUAUUUAUUUUUUUAUACCAAACAUGUAUAUUUUCUCUUUUUUGUUUUUGGGGCUCGAUCUGAAUGUCUAUUCCCAUCAAUCUCUGUGUGUAGAAACUUCAUUAACCGAUUCGAUUUCGCCAUAAUUCUGUGCCCCACAAAAUUUCACAACAGGCGCCCCACAACAAAAAAACAAGAAGGAAAAAAAAACGCAUAUUCCCAGGCCCCCGCCACACACACACACACACACACAGACGCAUAAAAUGGCCUGGCCAAAAGCGUAACCGUAAAUUGAUGGCUUACAACGAUUCAACAUUAAAAAAUACAACAAAAGCAAAGUAACCACACAGAAAACAAAAAUGUUUGUAAAUGAUUCAUUUUCUCCAGACAAGAAAUCAAAGCGCGAGAAGGUGUUUAAUUACCAAACAAAAUUCAACAAAAUGGAAACGAUUAAUUCAAUUCGCAAAUAUUUUGGAUAACUGGAGGGAGGCGGAGGCCCCGUUAUGUUUAAAACAAAGCGUAGAAAAAAAUCUGUAGCUACAUUUGGGGCACAAGUAGAGAUCUGAUUUGUUGUGUAUCGUGUGUGAUUUUUGGGUUUUGCCCACAAUAUAAUUAUUAAAUGAUUAAAACUUGGAAUAUUCGGUGCCUUAGCAUUAUCUUAACUAACUAUAUUUUCAUCCAUCCCUAAACGAAUGUAUCCUGCUGGAGUAGAGUGCUAUAAAUAUAAAAAUCAUAAAAAUAGGAAAUCCCACAAUAAACACUAACCAUAGAUCGAGAGAGAGAGACAGAACGAACACAAAAUAAUCAACCUCGAAACCUCGUGUGUUGUGUGUGCCAUUUAUCAAAUCAUUGCAGCAGAGCAGACCAGAGCAGAGGAGAGCAAAACAGAGAGCUGAAACUGGACUGGAAGUGAACCUGAACCUGAACCUAGGGCUAGGUCUAGGGUCCCACUCUCUGGAGCUGUGGCUGUGGCCCCCAUAGUGGUGUGAGUUUCAGUUGGGCGCCCUCCACUCGCACUCGCGCAGAACUGCUCCCCUCUCUCUCUCUCCCUGUCUGCCUGUGUGUGGGUCAGACAUAAGAGUUCAAACUCAUCCGUCAAGUGGUGUGUGGUGCGCGAGGGCUUUCGGUCUUAAUGGAUCGACAUAUUGAAGAUUGCUGCGAGAGUCUGUGGAUUGGAUAUGUGGGGAUUGGAUUGGAUAUGUUUGUUGGGGCAGCUAACCCAUUCCAGUCUUUCACUCUGCCUCGUCUCUAGUUGUGUUUUGGUGUUGUCAUUUAUCAUUUGAUUCCCUUCCACUGUGCACCCCUGUCCCCCUUUGGUUUGUUAACAAGUAAAAUCUAUUUAAGCCUUGUUCGUGGCAUUGUUGGCUGUGUGGCUCUUUAAUUGGUUCACAUGAUUUGUAAAUUAAACAAUUGCGAGCGCCCGAGAGGCGCGAGACUUUUGUAAUUUGUAAUUGAAAAUUGAGCAUGAAGAAACGGUGUGAGCUGUGAGCUUUGACAGCUUUUGUGGUUCCAAAUGAUUGCCGGAGGGAGGCGGAGGCAGGGAAGGGAAGUUCGGAGAGGAGCGAUCAAGCAACACGCGUUGAUUGAUAAUAUCGUGAUUCGUUUGUAUGGCGGGGGUAUUCUGAUUCGAGCAUUGGCAUUGGACUCUGUUUCAGGGGUAACGAUUACUGCAACUAAAUGUUUCCACUGAAAACCUAAACAACAGGAAGUAAUAUCACAUUUAGAUAAUGAAUUUUUGAAUAUUCAAAAAAUAUGAUUGAUUGAUGGCUCUUAAGAUCUUGAUUAGAUUGAGAGACUGAGCAAAAUCACAGGUGAAUCACAAACAAUGGCGUGCAUCGAUAACGGGUUGAUAGCUGUUUAAUUGCUUAGCCACAAUGGGACAGAGAUUGCGAGCGUGAGAGAGAGAUUCAAGCUUCCUUUUGCCAUAAUUCUAGCAGAAUUUUCUAAUUGAAAAAUGGAAUAAUAAGAACCUAAUCUGUUAAAUAUAUACGCCAAAAUAAUGAUCUAUAAUGUAGCCAUAUUUAUUAUAGUUUUUGAUCUUCUCUUCCGCAGAUCCUACCCGUAAAUACUUGGAUCCAUUGCUUGGGGAUACUUUGUCUUCUG